CACACAGGUGCUCGUGCCUGCGGGGGGGACUUUUUGAAGAACAAAUGAAGACACUGACAGUGCGCUAGGAGAGGAUAUAAGGAGCCUUAAAAAUCCCCACACGCGCAUUGGAACGUGCCGGAAAUCAUUGCGCGUAAUAUUUAAGCCUAUUUCUUUUUUUCUAAGCAUUCAUUUAUUACAACCCAUUCCUGGGAAUGGAAGUUGUGGCGUUAAGGUCAAAGCUGAUGCCGCAGCUGCUGUAUUUCAUCCCGACGUGUACACGGCACGCGCGCUUCAACUACGGAACAUGUCCAGCUGAAAAGAAUUCUCCGAUGCGCCUGUGUCCUGUUCCGGAAGCGUUUGGCAGAGUUGCGGCAACCACGGCGGGUUCUUUUAUUCUCACCAAAACAUUAAGUUGUUUAAUGUUUAAUAUCAGCAGCUAGUUAAAAUUGUGCGAGGGGGGGAAGCGGCCAGGACGCAUGGGCGAACAUACAAUAAUAUGUGCAUAUACAUUAUGCGUUUACAGGACGCUGAGAUGGAGGUAUGCUUAAAUCUCGCAUUCUAAGCUUUGUGCGCCGGGGAGCUAAUUGAUAUCCGCCACAACAUCCUCAGCGCGCACGAUUACGGAUCCGCAUCCCACCUUCCCUCCCCCCGGCAAGACACAGACAGUUAAGAGCCGAGGCCACUUUGAGGAGGAAAUAACCGUCCAGAAAACUGCGUCCAGUUUGGGAAAGCUCACUCACUCCCCGGGAGGACGAGCUUGGCUCGGGCGCUGAUUUUAGCCUACACACUUUUGUCGUAAUGGAUCCUUAAUCUGUAACGAGUUGUACCGAUAACGCUGAAGUAAAAUAUAAUAAACACAAUGUUUUUUUGAAA